AUGACCGAGGCUGUAGCUGAAGUGCUUGCUAAGCCCACUAAGAAGCCAAGGUUUCUUCAGCAUGUGGGGAUCCAGCAUGUCCAUGCGAGAUCUACCGAUAGCAACUAUCAAGAAGAAUUGGCAAAGAGGGGCAAUGUCGAGCUUCGGGCACUUGUUGACACCUUGACAAGGAAGUUGAAGGAGUCCUAA
rnacentral:rRNA from 1 species